ACCCAGUGGGCUGGGAGCAAACGGUGUUUCAAUAGUUUUCCAGGACACUGGGCAGGCAGGAGUGAGGAUGAAGGGAGGUGAGGAAGGGCAGGUGAGAGGC